rnacentral:lncRNA from 1 species
GGGGUGUCAAUUCGGGCUGGCCUGGCCCGGCCCGGCCCAAACCCGCUAAGCCCGUAAAUAUUUGAGCCCGGCCUGGCCCGGUCCGAAAAUAAUUUGGGCCUAGAAUUCAAAGCCCGGCCCGGCUCUUAUAGGGCUAUAGGGCUAUAGGGCUUUUCGGGCUUUUGUGGGUUUUUCGAAAAAUAAUUUGUCAUUGUCACUUCC